GGGCCCGCACAAGCGGUGGAGCAUGUGGUUUAAUUCGAAGCAACGCGAAGAACCUUACCAAAUCUUGACAUCCUUUGAAAACUCUAGAGAUAGAGCCUUCCCCUUCGGGGGACAAAGUGACAGGUGGUGCAUGGUUGUCGUCAGCUCGUGUCGUGAGAUGUUGGGUUAAGUCCCGCAACGAGCGCAACCCUUAAGCUUAGUUGCCAUCAUUCAGUUGGGCACUCUAGCAAGACUGCCGGUGAACAAACCGGAGGAAGGUGGGG
rnacentral:rRNA from 1 species